ensembl:lncRNA
AUUCAACAGAAGCUUACUGAGCAGCUACCACGUGCAGGCCCCAUUCUGGGUGUUGGGGGAAUCUCAGGAAAGAAACAGACCAAAGUCAGAAUACCUGUCCUUGGAGCAGGCUGAAUGAAAGAACACGACGUGGAUCUACCAUUGGCCCUUCCAGGGUGUGUAGUUCGCUCAGAGAUGAAGAGCAAGGGCAUUACCAGGAAGGGGAACAGCAUAAGCUAAGGCCUGCAGAGCAGUCAUGCUGGAGAGGAGAAGGCCAUCAAGCCCUGGUCUGCAGGAAAAGCCAAAGCAGGGCCCCUCGCCUCCAUCCCAUCCUGCCUGCCCUCGUCACCUGCAUGGCAGAGAGAUGGCCUCUGCUCCUGCAGUGGGACCACUAGGCUUUAGGCAUGAGAUUAGGUGAUGUUAACCUCCACUUCACUCACUCCCCAGACCAGCCCCCUCCCCAGCCCUUCAUGGAUCACUUCAGGGUCAGACAGGCAUAUGUGGCUAUUAGCCCAGAGUCUGUAACAGAACCCUACUGGGGCUCAUCCAGUUUCUCUCACAUGCCUCCAGUGAUAGG